rnacentral:rRNA from 1 species
CACGUAGGGCGCAAGCGUUGUCCGGAAUUAUUGGGCGUAAAGAGCUCGUAGGCGGUUUGUCGCGUCGGCCGUGAAAACCUCAGGCUUAACUUGGGGCUUGCGGUCGAUACGGGCAGACUUGAGUUCGGCAGGGGAGACUGGAAUUCCUGGUGUAGCGGUGAAAUGCGCAGAUAUCAGGAGGAACACCGGUGGCGAAGGCGGGUCUCUGGGCCGAUACUGACGCUGAGGAGCGAAAGCGUGGGGAGCGAACAG